rnacentral:rRNA from 1 species
UACGGGUAGGGCAAGCGUUGUUCCGGAAUCAUUGGGCGUAAAGGUGCGCGAGUGCGGCGGCCUAGUAGGUCGCUGAUGAAGUCAAGGGCUCAACCCUUGAAUGCCGUGGAUACUGCAGGGCUAGAGUCCGGAAGAGGCGAGUGGAAUUCCUGGUGUAGCGGUGGAAUGCGUAGAGAUCCGAAGAACACCGGUGGCGAAGGCGGUCUGCUGGGGUAAUGCUGACACUAUGCGCGACAGCGUGGGGAGCAACAGG